rnacentral:rRNA from 1 species
AGGGUGCAGGGCGGAUGCCUUGGCACUAGGAGCCGAUGAAGGACGUGAUAAGCUGCGAUAAGCUUCGGGGAGUUGCACGUAAACUUUGAUCCGAAGAUUUCCGAAUGAGGAAACUCACUUAGAGUAAUGUCUAAGUAUCAUUAAGUGAAUACAUAGCUUAAUGAGGGGAACUCAGGGAACUGAAACAUCUAAGUACCUGAAGGAAGAGAAAGAAAUUCGAUUCCGUAAGUAGCGGCGAGCGAACGCGGAUUAGCCCAAACCAAUAAAGUUUUCUUUAUUGGGGUUGCGGACAUAUCAUAACGAAGAGGUAUCGUAAUUGAAGAGGUUUGGAAAGACCCACCACAGAAGGUAAUAGUCCUGUAUGUUAAACGAGAAGACUUUAGAUAUGAUCCAGAGUACCACGGGACACGUGAAACCCUGUGGGAAGCAGGAGGGACCACCCUCCAAGGCUAAAUACUACCUAGUGACCGAUAGCGUAUAGUACCGUGAGGGAAAGGUGAAAAGAACCCCGGGAGGGGAGUGAAAUAGAACCUGAAACCCUGCACUUACAAGCUGUGGAAGCACAUUUCUUGUGUGACCGCGUACUUUUUGUAGAACGGGCCAACGAGUUACGUUAAGUAGCAAGGUUAAGCACUUAAGGUGCGGAGCCGUAGCGAAAGCGAGUUUUAACUGAGCGUUCAGUUACUUGACGUAGACCCGAAACCGGGCGACCUACCCAUGAGCAGGAUGAAGCGAAAGUAAAAUUUCGUGGAGGUCCGAACCCACGAGCGUUGAAAAGCUCGGGGAUGACUUGUGGGUAGCGGUGAAAUUCCAAUCGAGCCCGGAGAUAGCUGGUUCUCCCCGAAAUAGCUUUAGGGCUAGCCUCAAGGUGAGAGAUACGGAGGUAGAGCACUGAAUGUCCUAGGGGGUAUUGCACCUACCGAAGACUAUCAAACUCCGAAUGCCGUCAUCUUAUACUUGGGAGUCAGACUGUGGGUGAUAAGAUUCAUAGUCGAAAGGGCAACAGCCCAGAUCGUCAGCUAAGGUCCCUAAAUGUAAGUUAAGUGGUAAAGGAUGUGGGAUUGCACAGACAACCAGGAUGUUGGCUUAGAAGCAGCCACUCAUUCAAAGAGUGCGUAAUAGCUCACUGGUCGAGUGAUCCUGCGCCGAAGAUUUCCGGGGCUAAAACUUACUACCGAAGCUACGGCAUCAGUAAUGAUGGGUAGGGGAGCUUCCCAUACGGGUUGAAGCAUGACCGUAAGGACAUGUGGACAGUAUGGGAGUGAGAAUGUUGGCAUGAGUAGCGAGAUGUGGGUGAGAAUCCCACAGGCCGUAAACCCAAGGUUUCCAGGGGAAGGUUCGUCCGCCCUGGGUUAGUCGGGACCUAAGCUGAGGCCGAAAGGCGUAGGUGAUGGACAACAGGUUGAUAUUCCUGUACUACCGAUAACCGUUUGAGAGAAGGGAUGACACAGUAGGAUAAGCUAAGCACACUGUUGGUUAUGUGUGCCCAAGCAUUGAGGCAGUCAAAGUAGGCAAAUCCGCUUUGAUAAUGCUGGGAUGUGAUGGGGAGCGAAAUUUAGUAGCGAAGUAGCUGAUUUCACACUGUCAAGAAAAGUCUCUAUCGAGGUUAAAGGUACCCGUACCGCAAACCGACACAGGUGGGUGAGGAGAGUAUCCUAAGGCCAGCGAGAGAACUGUUGUUAAGGAACUCGGCAAAAUGACCCCGUAACUUAGGGAUAAGGGGUGCCACCAUCAGGUGGCCGCAGAGAAUAGGCCCAAGCGACUGUUUACCAAAAACAUAGGUUUCUGCUAAGUCGCAAGACGAUGUAUAGGAGCUGACGCCUGCCCGGUGCUGGAAGGUUAAGGGGAUCUGUUAGAGCAAUCGAAGCAGUGAACUUAAGCCCCAGUAAACGGCGGCCGUAACUAUAACGGUCCUAAGGUAGCGAAAUUCCUUGUCGGGUAAGUUCCGACCCGCACGAAAGGCGUAACGAUUUGGGCACUGUCUCAACAACAGACUCGGUGAAAUUGUAAUUCCGGUGAAGAUGCCGGAUACCUGCGACAGGACGGAAAGACCCCAUGGAGCUUUACUGUAGCUUGACAUUGGGUCUUGGUACUACAUGUACAGGAUAGGUGGGAGGCUUUGAAACCAGGACGCCAGUUUUGGCGGAGCCAUCCUUGGGAUACCACCCUUGUAGUACUGGGACUCUAACCAUAGGCCAUGAAUCUGGUCUUGGGACACUGUCAGGUGGGCAGUUUGACUGGGGCGGUCGCCUCCCAAAAGGUAACGGAGGCGCUCAAAGGUUCUCUCAGUACGGUCGGAAAUCGUACGUAGAGUGUAAAGGCAAAAGAGAGCUUGAUUGCAAGACAUACAGGUCGAGCAAGGAUGAAAAUCGGACUUAGUGAUCCGGUGGUUCUGCGUGGAAGGGCCAUCGCUCAACGGAUAAAAGCUACCCUGGGGAUAACAGGCUUAUCUCCCCCAAGAGUCCACAUCGACGGGGAGGUUUGGCACCUCGAUGUCGGCUCAUCACAUCCUGGGGCUGUAGUAGGUCCCAAGGGUUGGGCUGUUCGCCCAUUAAAGUGGUACGCGAGCUGGGUUCAGAACGUCGUGAGACAGUUCGGUCCCUAUCCGUCGCAGGCGUAGGAAAUUUGAGAAGACCUGUCCUUAGUACGAGAGGACCGGGAUGGACGUACCUCUGGUGUACCAGUUGUCCUGCCAAGGGCAUGGCUGGGUAGCUAUGUACGGAAUGGAUAAGCGCUGAAAGCAUCUAAGCGCGAAGCCAACUUCAAGAUAAGAUUUCCCACCGCAAGGGUAAGACCCCAGAAAGACUAUCUGGUUGAUAGGUCGAAGGUGUAAGUGCAGCAAUGUUUAGCUUAUCGAUACUAAUAGGUCGAGGACUUGACC